UACGUAGGUGGCAAGCGUUGUCCGGAUUUACUGGGCGUAAAGGGCGCGUAGGCGGCGUGGCAAGUCACUUGUGAAAUCUCCGGGCUUAACUCGGAACGGUCAAGUGAUACUGCUGUGCUAGAGUGCGGAAGGGGCAACUGGAAUUCUUGGUGUAGCGGUGAAAUGCGUAGAUAUCAAGAGGAACACCUGCGGCGAAGGCGGGUUGCUGGGCCGACACUGACGCUGAGGCGCGAAAGCUAGGGGAGCGAACGGG
rnacentral:rRNA from 1 species